rnacentral:lncRNA from 1 species
GCCACCCUGCUGCAGUGCACUUGUCUGGCAGAGCCCUGUGGCCGCUGGUCCACGCCGUGACUCCCAGCCCCGGACACACGCUCCAUGCCUCUGGCCUGGCUGUCUUGCCACGGUUUCGAAGCUUCCUCUCAGCGCCCGGCUCCCGUUUGCUGAGAAGCCGCCUGCUCUUUGCAUGGGAGCUGCAGGCAGCAGCCUUGUCGCGGGAGCACUUUAGUGGAACCCUUACUUUCCAUUUUCCAAAGGACAUGAGUAGACGGUUGGGCCCAACGCAUGGAACUGAAACUGACUAAAAUCAAAGGAAACUUUCAUGGACUGACCCUGUUCAAAGAGUCGCAGUGCACCCUCUGCGGGGAGCCAGAAG